rnacentral:rRNA from 1 species
GAUCCUGCCGGACCUGACUGCUAUCGGAUUGAUACUAAGCCAUGCGAGUCAUUGUAGCAAUACAAGGCAGACGGCUCAGUAACGCGUAGUCAAUCUACCCUAUGGACGGGAAUAACCUCGGGAAACUGAGAAUAAUGCCCGAUAGAACAUUAUGCCUGGAAUGGUUUAUGUUUCAAAUGAUUUAUCGCCAUAGGAUGGGACUGCGGCCUAUCAGUUUGUUGGUGAGGUAAUGGCCCACCAAGACUAUUACAGGUACGGGCUCUGAGAGGAGUAGCCCGGAGAUGGGUACUGAGACACGGACCCAGGCCCUAUGGGGCGCAGCAGGCGAGAAAACUUUGCAAUGUGCGAAAGCACGACAAGGUUAACCCGAGUGGUUUCUGCUAAAGAAACCUUUUGUCAGUCCUAGAAACACUAACGAAUAAGGGGUGGGCAAGUUCUGGUGUCAGCCGCCGCGGUAAAACCAGCACCUCAAGUGGUCAGGAUGAUUAUUGGGCCUAAAGCAUCCGUAGCUCGUUUUGUAAGUUUUCGGUUAAAUCCAUGCGCUUAACGUAUGGGCUGCCGGGAAUACUGCAUAACUAGGAAGUGGGAGAGGUAGACGGUACUCGGUAGGAAGGGGUAAAAUCCUUUGAUCUAUUGAUGACCACCUGUGGCGAAGGCGGUCUACCAGAACACGUUCGACGGUGAGGGAUGAAAGCUGGGGGAGCAAACCGGAUUAGAUACCCGGGUAGUCCCAGCUGUAAACUAUGCAAACUCAGUGAUGCAUUGGCUCGUGGCCAAUGCAGUGCUGCAGGGAAGCCGUUAAGUUUGCCGCCUGGGAAGUACGUACGCAAGUAUGAAACUUAAAGGAAUUGGCGGGGGAGCACCACAAGGGGUGAAGCCUGCGGUUCAAUUGGAGUCAACGCCGG